CAAACUUUGCAGCCUCCGGCUUAGAUCAAGUGUAGUAUCUGUUCUUCUCAAGAGUAAUUUCUGAGACGGUCUAAAAUGGCCGAUCUGUUGAUUACCAACACUUUUUGCGUCUCGGGGUGGCGUCCUCUGGGCUUGCCCAUGAUCCAUCCCACUGUGACCUCCCUACCACACUGCUUGGGAGUGUUGCGAACUUCG
rnacentral:snRNA from 1 species